rnacentral:rRNA from 1 species
CCUACGGGAGGCAGCAGUAGGGAAUAUUGCUCAAUGGGGGAAACCCUGAAGCAGCAACGCCGCGUGGAGGAUGAAGGUCUUCGGAUCGUAAACUCCUUUUGUUAGAGAAGAUAAUAACGGUAUCUAACUAUUCAGGACCUGCGAACUCCUUGCCAGCAGCCGCGGUAAUACGGAGGGUGCAAGCGUUACUCGGAAUCACUGGGCGUAAAGAGCGCGUAGGCGGUAUAGCAAGUCUGAUGUGAAAGCCUAUGGCUUAACCAUAGAACUGCAUUUGAAACUGUAAUUCUAGAGUGUGGUAGAGGAAGGUGGAAUUCUAGGUGUAGCGGUAAAAUGCGUAGAGAUAAAGAGGAAUACUCAUUGCGAAGGCGACCUUCUGGAACGUAACUGACGCUGAUGCGCGAAAGCGUGGGGAGCAAACAGGAUUAGAUACCCUUGUAGUC